rnacentral:rRNA from 1 species
AAUGAACGCUGGCGGCAUGCCUAACACAUGCAAGUCGAACGAAGGCUUCGGCCUUAGUGGCGCACGGGUGCGUAACGCGUGGGAAUCUGCCCCUUGGUUCGGAAUAACAGUUAGAAAUGACUGCUAAUACCGGAUGAUGACGUAAGUCCAAAGAUUUAUCGCCGAGGGAUGAGCCCGCGUAGGAUUAGCUAGUUGGUGUGGUAAGAGCGCACCAAGGCGACGAUCCUUAGCUGGUCUGAGAGGAUGAUCAGCCACACUGAGACUGAGACACGGCCCAGACUCCUACGGGAGGCAGCAGUGGGGAAUAUUGGACAAUGGGCGAAAGCCUGAUCCAGCAAUGCCGCGUGAGUGAUGAAGGCCUUAGGGUUGUAAAGCUCUUUUACCCGGGAUGAUAAUGACAGUACCGGGAGAAUAAGCUCCGGCUAACUCCGUG